GUGGGCCCUCGAAAUCCUGUGGUGGGAUCAUUCAGUCGGGGCGCUUAGGACUCUGCCGGAAUAUGAAUAGAAGGUUCCCGCGACGGGGGCCGUUCCGGCUUACGGACCGAGGCAAUCCGACGCAUUUGUUUCCCGCCCGAAGGACGCCGCAACCGGUUGGGAGACGGCCUUAAGGACGAGAGCCGGCAGGUGGCCGGUGGCUGGCUUCGUGCCGGCCGCCGGUUGUUAGCCUUUUCGUCGCACGGCACGUUUUCCGACCGGAUGCAAUAGAGAGGCCCCGAUGGGCUUCAACGUCUCCUCCCUUAAAAGGUGGCGGGUUAAGAAGCGCGACAGGAGUAACGACGCAAUGCGGGCGCACGGACCGACUCCGUGGCCCAGCGCCGUGUCGACUCUGUUGGUUGUGCAAGUCCCGUGGGAGUGCUCGACGGUUAGCGGCGAGUAGAUCGGUCACCCACCCGACCCGUCUUGAAACACGGACCAAGGAGUAUAACAUGUGUGCGAGUCAAUGGGUCUUGAAUAGGCCCAGAGGCGCAAUGAAAGCAAAGGCCGGAGGACUCCGGCCGUGUCGGGAUCCCUGCAGUUCUUCUGUGGGGCGCACCGACGACCCGCCCCGUUCCACUCGUGGAUGAGGCGGAGUCCGAGCACACACGUUGUGACCCGAAAGAUGGUGACCUAUGCCCGGACAGGGUGAAGACAGAGGAAACUCUGUUGGAAGCUCGUAGCGGUUCUGACGUGCAAAUCGAUCGUCAGAUCCGGGUUUAGC
rnacentral:rRNA from 1 species